UUCCCAGGGGGAAAAUGCAUUCAUUUUUCAUCACCAUAUAAACUUCUGGGUAUAUUUGUAUAGAUGAUGGACUAUGGAUUUCUGGAGCAAGAUGGGGAGCGUCAGAAACCUAACUCCAGGAUUUGCUGGGUUCUCCAAACUGUAGCGGGAACCUCACUCCCAGGCCGAUGCCCCUCUAGCGUCUGCAGCUCUGGGCCCCAGGGAGGGAGGAAGGAGCCACAGAGGGUUCGGACAACAGCACUGACUGAUGCCAGAGCAGGACUCCAUUCUGUUAACCUGACAAAGCGCACAGGCUGCGCCGGCAUGUUUUUCUUCCACUUUCUACACUAAUUUAUCAAACUGGAAGGAAGAGAUCAGAACAUCAAAUAAAAAUCCACAGCCACAGAGCAAUUAACUCAAGACCUAACAUGUACCUGGAUAAGGGGACUCACAAGAAUUCCGGUAUCUACAAGGUUUUAAAUGGCAAUGUUUUCUAACUUUGUAUCUUGGGUUAUUGGUCGUCAAUGUUUCCAAAAAUAAUCACUCCUCUCAGUUACA